AGCCCAUGGAAAUGGAAAAGUCUUAACAGGUCCUUGAAACGUCCCCAUGCGUCAAACAAGGAUUCCCCAUCUUCUUGCCUAAAAUUAUUUAUCUCAUUCCUAACU